rnacentral:rRNA from 1 species
AUUGAACGCUGGCGGCAGGCUUAACACAUGCAAGUCGAGCGGGGGAAGGUAGCUUGCUCUCUGAUUUAGCGGCGGACGGGUGAGUAAUGCCUAGGAAGCUGCCUGGUCGUGGGGGAUAACGUUCCGAAAGGAAGGCUAACACCGCCUACGUCCUACGGUAGAAAGCAGGGGACCUUCGGGUCUUGCGAUAUCAGAUGAGCCUAGGUCGGAUUAGCUAGUUGGUGCGGUAAUGGCUCACCAAGGCGACGAGCCGUAACUGGGCUGAGAGGAUGAUCAGUCACACUGGAACUGAGACACGGUCCAGACUCCUACGGGAGGCAGCAGUGGGGAAUAUUGGACAAUGGGCGAAAGACUGAUCCAGCCAUGCCGCGUGUGUGAAGAAGGUCUUCGGAUUGUAAAGCACUUUAAGUUGGGAGGAAGGGUUGUAGAUUAAUACUCUGCAAUUUUGACGUUACCAACAGAAUAAGCACCGGCUAACUUCGUGCCAGCCGCCGCGGUAA